GACGAACGCUGGCGGCGUGCUUAGCACAUGCAAGUCAAGGAGAAAGCUUUCUUCGGAUGGCAAGUAAACUGGCGCACGGGUGAGUAAUAUGUAAGUAAUCUACCGAUAGGUUUGGGAUAACUUCGAGAAAUCGGGGCUAAUACCAAAUAAUGCAGCGGCAUCGCAUGAUGAUGUUGUUAAAGUAAUUUAUUACGCCUAUUGAUGAGCUUGCAGCUGAUUAGCUAGUUGGCGGGGUAAAGGCCCACCAAGGCAACGAUCAGUAGCUGGUCUGAGAGGAUGAUCAGCCACACUGGAACUGACACACGGUCCAGACUCCUACGGGAGGCAGCAGUGAGGAAUUUUGCGCAAUGGGGGAAACCCUGACGCAGCAACGCCGCGUGAGUGAUGAAGGCUUUCGGGUCGUAAAGCUCUGUCAAGUGGGAAGAACCCACAUGGUGCCAAUAUCACCAUGUGCUGACGGUACCACUGAAGGAAGCACCGGCUAACUCCGUGCCAGCAGCCGCGGUAACACGGGGGGUGCAAGCGUUAUUCGGAAUUACUGGGCGUAAAGAGCGCGUAGGCGGUCUUUUAAGUCAGGUGUGAAAGCCCGGGGCUCAACCCCGGAAGUGCACUUGAAACUAAGGGACUUGAGUAUGGGAGAGGGAAGUGGAAUUCCUGGUGUAGCGGUGAAAUGCGUAGAUAUCAGGAGGAACACCGGUGGCGAAGGCGACUUCCUGGACCAAUACUGACGCUGAGGCGCGAAGGCGUGGGGAGCAAACAGGAUUAGA
rnacentral:rRNA from 1 species